UACGUAGGCAGCAAGCGUUGUUCGGAGUUACUGGGCGUAAAGGGGUGUGUAGGCGGUUCUUUAAGUUUGCUGUGAAAUCUCCCGGCUUAAACCGGGAGGGUGCGGUGAAUACUGAGGGACUAGAGUACGGGAGAGGAAAGUUGAAUUCCUGGUGUAGCGGUGAAAUGCGUAGAUAUCAGGAGGAACACCGGUGGUGUAGACGGCUUUCUGGACCGUAACUGACGCUGAAACACGAAAGCGUGGGUAGCAAACAGG
rnacentral:rRNA from 1 species